rnacentral:rRNA from 1 species
UACGUAGGUGACAAGCGUUGUCCGGAAUCAUUGGGCGUAAAGCGCGUGUAGGCGGCUCGGUAAGUCUGCUGUGAAAGUCCAGGGCUCAACCCUGGGAUGCCGGUGGAUACUGUCGAGCUCGAGUCCGGAAGAGGCGAGUGGAAUUCCUGGUGUAGCGGUGAAAUGCGCAGAUAUCAGGAGGAACACCAAUGGCGAAGGCAGCUCGCUGGGACGUGACUGACGCUGAGACGCGAAAGCGUGGGGAGCAAACAGG